CAUCUUUUCUCCUUGAUCAGGUGCGGUACCGAUCAUUCGCUGUCCCCGUGGAAACGCAGCAGAGAUGGUCGCCGUGAAGUUGGAUAAGAAGCUGCGUGAGAACCUGCGGGACGCCAGAAACAGCCUCUUCACCGGAGACAACAUGGCCGCCGGACAGUUCAGUUUCCAGAGGCCUCUGUUUGUCCUGGCGGACCGUAACGUGGACAUGGCCACGCCCCUCCACCACACCUGGACCUAUCAGGCGCUGAUCCACGAUGUCCUGGUGAGCUGGUACUCCUCCGUCACUCCAUCACU